AGCUGUUCAUGUUUGAAUCUCCUGUUUGAUUCUCCUGUUUGAGCCUUGACAUAUGAAUGCAGCCUGUUUUUAAUCAGGACAUGGACUGAUUGGAUCAAAGUUAUUAGUUUUGCCUGGAGGCAAAAGUUUUUCAGUCAGUAAAGUUCCUUUUGAAGUAUCAGAAUUUGCUUAAGCAGAGGCUAAGGAAAAAUAAUAUGAGUAUUCAAAACUAAACAAGUAUCACUCAGUUCAUCAAUAAACUCUCUAAUGAGGCUGGAGAUAAGGACACAACAUUGAUAAACUGAGAAACAGCUCGUUAGGAAAUAACUACCCAAAACACCAGAAGAGGCCAAAGAAAGACUUGAUUGCCACUCAGCUCCAGGAUGCCAACUCCUGAAUCUGACAAUAAUACCAUCUAACGAAGGGCUAAAGACCAAGCCAUACAAGCACGCUGUGUACAAAGCUGCCCAUGGCUGAAGAAAGAUCAUUGAUUCACUACAUCUCAUUUGGGAAUUUCCCUCAUCUUCCGGGUCUGAUUUGUACUGUAAAUAUUCAGAGACAAAAAGCACUAGAAUUCCUGGAGUCUUCCACUGCCAAUGGAUAUGAUCGUUUCAAGAGACAGCUAUGGGAUGGCUUGUAGUUUACAGCAAGUUUACUCUAGGUCUUUGGAACACAGGCAUGAGGAUCGUUAUUCCUUUAUAGGUAGCAGUCAGGAUGUGAAAGCUUGCCAGCUUGGUCUGGAAAUUACUUUGUGGCUGGAACUGGACACUUAUUUUCUAGUGCACAAGAUCUUGAAGAGUUUCCAGCUGCACAAGAC
ensembl:lncRNA